rnacentral:rRNA from 1 species
UACGUAGGGUGCGAGCGUUGUCCGGAAUUACUGGGCGUAAAGAGCUCGUAGGUGGUUUGUCGCGUUGUCCGUGAAAACUCACAGCUUAACUGUGGGCGUGCGGGCGAUACGGGCAGACUGGAGUACUGCAGGGGAGACUGGAAUUCCUGGUGUAGCGGUGGAAUGCGCAGAUAUCAGGAGGAACACCGGUGGCGAAGGCGGGUCUCUGGGCAGAUACUGACGCUGAGGUGCGAAAGCGUGGGGAGCAAACAGG